CCCCCCUGCCCUUCAUGUUUUAGGUGUGUCCCUUCUGCCACACACCUGGAUUGAAUCUGAGGGUGAUUAACAGGCUUCUUGAUGGUCAUGCAAUCAUUUGGAUCAGCUGUUCUGGAAUAGAGGCACAUCUUAAACAUGCAGAAUAGGACUGAGGACUGGAAUUGAGAGGCACUGCUUUACUAGGAUGGCUGGGCUGCUCUGGCAUGGAGGAGGAUCUUGAAGCCUUCCUUCGUUCAAGGCAUGUUACAGAAGAUGACAUAAAUCGGAUGAAAGUGGAUAAGAUUGAUAGAGGGGUCAUUUGUGUGAUGACGGACGAAGAAUUUUCAAGAUACAUUCCUUCAUAUGGCGACCGAUUGGCUAUUGCAUCAUUUUGUCGACGAAUGGAAGCUAACUUUGACAAGGAGGGCAUUUUAAACAGAAUUAGGCAAACAAUUGAAACAAGGCGAAUGAUGAGCAAAAGACAUGUCAAAGUACCCCAGCAAACAUCUGUAGGAAAUUCUGGCUUGAUGGCAAGGCCUAAAAACAGCAACGCGGUGAAAUCAAAACGCAGAAUUGAAGUGGGAUGGCUGCACUUUCAAAGCGGGGAUUUUCACCAAGUUAGGUCUAAAUGUGGAGGUGGAACCAGACACCUUGAA